AUACGUAGGGUGCAAGCGUUAAUCGGAAUUACUGGGCGUAAAGCGUGCGCAGGCGGUUUUGUAAGACAGAGGUGAAAUCCCCGGGCUCAACCUGGGAACUGCCUUUGUGACUGCAAGGCUAGAGUACGGCAGAGGGGGAUGGAAUUCCGCGUGUAGCAGUGAAAUGCGUAGAUAUGCGGAGGAACACCGAUGGCGAAUGCGAUCCCCGGGGCCUAUACUGGCGCUCAUGCACGAAAGCGUGGGGAGCAAACAUGAUUAGAUACCCUGGUAGUCCACGCCCUAAGCGAUGUCAACUGGUUGUUGGGUCUUCAUUGACGCAGUAACGAAGCUAACGCGUGAAGUUGACCGCCUGGGGAGUACGGCCGCAAGGUUGAAACUCAAAUGAAUUGACGGGG
rnacentral:rRNA from 1 species